GACGAACGCUGGCGGCGUGCUUAACACAUGCAAGUCGGGCGGAAAGGCCCUUCGGGGUACUCGAGCGGCGAACGGGUGAGUAACACGUGAGCAACCUGCCCUUGGCUUUGGGAUAACCCUCGGAAACGGGGGCUAAUACCGAAUAUCCACUGAUAGUCGCAUGGGGGUUGGUGGAAAGUCUGUCGGCUGAGGAUGGGCGCGAGGCGUAUCAGCUUGUUGGUGGGGUAAUGGCCUACCAAGGCGACGACGGGUAGCCGGCCUGAGAGAGCGACCGGCCACACCGGGACUGAGACACGGCCCAGACUGCGACGGGAGGCAGCAGUGGGGAAUAUUGCACAAUGGGCGGAAGCCUGAUGCAGGGACGCCGCGUGAGGGAUGACGGCCUUCGGGUUGUAAACCUCUUUCAGCAGGGACGAAGCGAAAGUGACGGUACCUGCAGAAGAAGCGCCGGCCAACUACGUGCCAGCCGCCGCGGUAAAAC
rnacentral:rRNA from 1 species